rnacentral:rRNA from 1 species
AUUGAACGCUGGCGGCAUGCCUUACACAUGCAAGUCGAACGGUAACAGGUUAAGCUGACGAGUGGCGAACGGGUGAGUAAUAUAUCGGAACGUGCCCAAUCGGUGGGGGAUAACGCAGCGAAAGUUGUGCUAAUACCGCAUACGAUCUACGGAUGAAAGCGGGGGAUCGCAAGACCUCGCGCGAGUGGAGCGGCCGAUAUCAGAUUAGGUAGUUGGUGAGGUAAAGGCUCACCAAGCCGACGAUCUGUAGCUGGUCUGAGAGGACGACCAGCCACACUGGGACUGAGACACGGCCCAGACUCCUACGGGAGGCAGCAGUGGGGAAUUUUGGACAAUGGGCGCAAGCCUGAUCCAGCAAUGCCGCGUGCAGGAAGAAGGCCUUCGGGUUGUAAACUGCUUUUGUACGGAACGAAACGGUCUGGGUUAAUACCCUGGGCUAAUGACGGUACCGUAAGAAUAAGCACCGGCUAACUACGUG